rnacentral:tRNA from 1 species
UCCUUGGUGGCUCAGAUGGUAAAGCGUCUGCCUGCAAUGCAGGAGACCUGGGUUCGAUCCUGGGUUGGGAC